rnacentral:rRNA from 1 species
GAAGUAGGCGGCUUGGUCAGUGAGACGUGAAAUGCUUCGGCUCAACCGAAGACUUGCGUUUCAUACUGCCAAGCUUGAGGCCGGGAGGGGAGACGGGAAUUCCUGGUGUAGCGGUGAAAUGCGCAGAUAUCAGGAAGAACACCGGUGGCGAAGGCGCGUCUCUGGACCGGUUCUGACGCUAAACUCCGAAAGUGUGGGUAGCAAACA